rnacentral:rRNA from 1 species
CUACGGGUCGCAGCAGUUAAGAAUAAUCUACAAUGCGCGCAAGCGUGAUAGUUUGAGCCAGAGUGCUUUUCAUUUGAAAAGCUUUUGCCGAAUCUAAAACGUUCGGCGAAUAAGGACUGGGUAAGACGAGUGCCAGCCGCCGCGGUAAUACUCGCGGUCCAAGUCGCAGCCAUUUUUAUUGGGUCUAAAACAUCCGUAGCUUGCUUGAUAAGUCUCUUGUGAAAUUUUACAUCUCAAGUGUGAAGCGCGCAAAAGGUACUAUCAAGCUAGAGACUGGAAGACGUAAGAAGUAUGUUCAGAGUAGCGGUAAUAUGUGUUAAUCCUGGACAGACUAACAAUAGCGAAGGCAUCUUACGAGGACAGUUCUGACAGUAAGGGAUGAAGGCCAGGGGCGCAAAACGGAUUAGAUACCCCUGUAGUC